rnacentral:rRNA from 1 species
CCUACGGGGGGCAGCAGUGGGGAAUAUUGGACAAUGGGGGGAACCCUGAUCCAGCCAUGCCGCGUGUGUGAAGAAGGCCCUCGGGUUGUAAAGCACUUUCAGUGAGGAAGAACGCCUGGUGGUUAAUACCCAUCAGGAAAGACAUCACUCACAGAAGAAGCACCGGCUAACUCCGUGCCAGCAGCCGCGGUAAUACGGAGGGUGCGAGCGUUAAUCGGAAUUACUGGGCGUAAAGCGCGCGUAGGUGGCUUGAUAAGCCGGUUGUGAAAGCCCCGGGCUCAACCUGGGAACGGCAUCCGGAACUGUCAAGCUAGAGUGCAGGAGAGGAAGGUAGAAUUCCCGGUGUAGCGGUGAAAUGCGAAGAGAUCGGGAGGAAUACCAGUGGCGAAGGCGGCCUUCUGGACUGACACUGACACUGAGGUGCGAAAGCGUGGGUAGCAAACAGGCUUAGAUACCCGAGUAGUC